CCCUUAGAUGUUCUGGGCUGCACGCGCGCUACACUGAUGCACUCAACGAGUUUACGACCUUGCCCGAUAGGGUUGGGUAAUCUUUUUAAAAUGCAUCGUGAUGGGGAUAGAUUAUUGCAAUUAUUAAUCUUCAACGAGGAACUCCUAGUAAGCGCGAGUCAUCAGCUCGUGCUGAUUACGUCCCUGCCCUUUGUACACACCGCCCGUCGCUCCUACCGAUUGAGUGCUCAGGUGAAUAAUUCGGACUGCAGCAAUGUUUGGAUCCCGAACGUUGCAGCGGAAAGUUUAGUGAACCUUAUCACUUAGAGGAAGGAGAAGUCGUAACA
rnacentral:rRNA from 1 species